UCCCUUUUGGUCUCUAACUGAAGCACAGGUGCUGUUCCUGCUCCAAGGGCUGCUUCCUUGUCUCCUCACACCUGUGUGACCACCCCACUGCGAGGCAGGAUCUGGCAAUGCCCGAGCGUCUGCCUGGCCCUGCUGGUGCCGCUGCUGUGUCUGGAGCUGCCUUUGCAGGGCACUUCUCUUUGUGCAGAAGGCAAGCACAAGAAGGACUCUGGAGGGCCCUGGCACUGCCAGCACAGAGGAUUCCUGGGCCUGGACGGUUGGGUGGCUCAAGGGGCCAAGCAGAGCUUUCCACUUGAUCCCAGCUGUGCUGAAGCUGUCGCUGCUGCAGCUGGGUAGAGCCGUGGCUCCAGGGGAGUUCUCAGCAUGGGCAGGACAGGCUGAGAAGCAGAAGGGCUGAGGAGAGGACACCUGGAGCACUGUGCAGCUGGGAAAGGCAAGGAAAGGGCAAUCCUGGAUCCUGGCUCCCACACCUUGCUCCCAGGUUUAGAACAUCAGAUGACUUAGCAGAUGUGAAAUGCUUCUAGAAGCCAAACAGUGGUUCUGUUCAUACCCUUUGGACCCCCCUGUUUUUGCCUGUUUUUUUAAUGGAAACAUUGGCUGCUGAGUUUGAUUUCUCAACCAAGUUGUACUUAACCAGGACAGACCAGAUUUCAGUUGAUUUCAUUACUUUUUUCCCCUGGAAGUAGGAAAUGGCAUGCAGAUCUUUCAUCUAUGUCCACUUUAAAUCAGCAACUCCAAAAAUAUAAAUGCAGUUCCUUUUCAGUGAGGUACAAUCAAGAACGUGCACAUCUGAUCCCUACAUGCUGACCACAAGAAAUGAUGCUGCCUGGCCAGUGGAGAAGGAUGAAAUGGUCCCCAGGACCUGUCCCAGCUCUCCCUGGGUACUUCUGCACCAGCAAAUUACAGAGGGCCCCCGAGUCCAGAGAUCUCAAGUGCAGUCAGCUCUUUGUAAGGUGACGUCUCCUUUGCUCUCCCUUCCCAGAAGUCCUUGGAAAGGAGACAGCAAAUCCAAGUCUGCUUCAAGUCUGGUGUGGGGAGAGGGUCCUGGAACAUGUGGUGGGGGCUCUGCCAGU